CUACGGGUUGCUGCAGCGGGGAAUAUUGGACAAUGGGGGAAACCCUGAUCCAGCAAUGCCGCGUGUGUGAAGAAGGCCUGCGGGUUGUAAAGCACUUUCAAUAGGGAGGAAAAGCUUUGGGUUAAUACCCCGAAGUCUUGACGUUACCUUUAGAAGAAGCACCGGCUAACUCUGUGCCAGCAGCCGCGGUAAUACAGAGGGUGCGAGCGUUAAUCGGAAUUACUGGGCGUAAAGCGCGCGUAGGCGGUUUGAUAAGUCAGAUGUGAAAGCCCCGGGCUUAACCUGGGAACUGCAUUUGAUACUGUCAAACUAGAGUAUGGUAGAGGGUAGUAGAAUUCCUGGUGUAGCGGUGAAAUGCGUAGAUAUCAGGAGGAAUACCAGUGGCGAAGGCGGCUACCUGGACCAAUACUGACGCUGAGGUGCGAAAGCGUGGGGAGCAAACAGGAUUAGAUACCCUUGUAGUC
rnacentral:rRNA from 1 species